GAAGCUACUGAGCAAGUGUCAUUUCCUCUUAACACUCGUCUGUCUUUCAGUUGUGACCUAAAUUCCAGUGAAGUACUUGAAAUCUUUAAGAUUAGUUACUAUGAAUUUCCAUCUAAGACAAAUAUACUUAACUGAAAGGAAAUGUCUUUGGCUAGUUUUCAAUAUAAACAGGAAAACAGAAAACUGUCUGAAGACUUUGUCCACAUAACACACUGCUUUAACUUCUCGUGAUUUAAAACAUAAGGAAGAAAAGUCUAGUCUGCUAUACUGAAU
rnacentral:lncRNA from 1 species